UCUACGGCCAUACCACCCUGAACGCGCCCGAUCUCGUGUGAUGUCGGAAGCUAAGCAGGGUCGGGCCUUGGUUAGUACUUGGAUGGGAGACCGCCUGGGAAUACCGGGUGCUGUAGGCUUU
rnacentral:rRNA from 1 species